AAAUUACUUUCAUAAUGUAUGAUAGGUCUACGAAGUAGCCAAAUGGUAAGUAUUUUUGUUAGAAUAAUUCACCUUUAAAACCUUACGAUGUUAUUUAAAUACUAUUUUACUUACUGAGUAUAUGAAACUUACUCUUUCCAUGCCCUCCAGAUGAGGAAGAAAAUGAGAACCGCAGACUGACCUACCUUUAGACGUCUAUGAGGAUCCCGUGGAUCCAUAAAACUUGAGUGCAUGAUUGUUCCUGCACUUUGAUGAGUUCAAUAGCAUCGUGAAGAAGUGACCUUC
rnacentral:lncRNA from 1 species